rnacentral:rRNA from 1 species
UACAGAGGGUGCAAGCGUUAAUCGGAAUUACUGGGCAUAAAGCGUGCGCAGACGGUUGCGUAAGUCAGAUGUGAAAGUCCUGGGCUUAACCUGGGGACUGCAUUUGAUACUGGGUUGCUUGAAUUCGGGAGAGGAUAGCGGAAUUCCCAGUGUAGAGGUGAAAUUCGUAGAUAUUGGGAAGAACACCGGUGGCGAAGGCGGCUAUCUGGACCGACAUUGACGCUGAGGCGCGAAAGCGUGGGGAGCAAACAGG